AAUAUUGCACAAUGGAGGGAACUCUGAUGCAGCAACGCCGCGUGAGUGAAGAAGGUUUUCGGAUCGUAAAACUCUGUCAUUGGGGAAGAAUAAAUGACGGUACCCAAUGAGGAAGGCCCGGCUAACUACGUGCCAGCAGCCGCGGUAAUACGGAGGGGGCGAGCGGUGUCCGGAUUUAGUGGGCGUAAAGGGCGCGUAGGCGGUAGUAGAAGUCAGAUGUGAAAGUCCAGGGCUCAACCGUGGAAUUGCAUUUGAAACUGUGCUACUUGAGUGCAGGAGAGGAGAGCGGAAUUCCUAGUGUAGCGGUGAAAUGCGUAGAGAUUAGGAAGAACACCAGUGGCGAAGGCGGCUCUCUGGACUGUAACAGACGCUGAGGCGCGAAAGCGUGGGUAGCAAACA
rnacentral:rRNA from 1 species